AUAUUUGUAUUUAUAAAUAUAUUUCUAUUAAGAUUUCUUUGUAUAUAGAUACACAUAAAAGCAAUACUUUAAAGAAUACUGUACUCACCUGUCUUAAAUGUAAUAAAGCAUCUUGGGAUAGGGGUGAGGCUUUGUGAAUUUAGUCUACAGAUUAUCCUAAAGUCCAGUAAUUAGCAAAACAAGAAUUGUUGAAAAUACUUUCCUGAUACAGCUGAAUGUUUAAAUGUAUACAGCUGAAUGUUUAAAUUUAUACAGCUGAAUGUUUAAAUGUAUACAGCUGAAUGUCUAAAUGUGCAUUAUUGAUAUGCUAUAAAUAUUACAUAAGAGUACAUAUGAUUUUAGUUAGGUUGCUCCCCUUGUUUCUUCACAUGGCUUUUGAUUCAUCAAGUGUAAAGUUAUGGUAACUCAUGAUGCCGACCCAGUUUUAUUUCUUUGUGUCUGACAGGGGCUGUAAAUCAUAGAAUCUCAGGAGACUCUGUUGUCUUUUCUUCACACAUGGACUGUGAGGACCCCAGUGUGUGUAUCAGCGUGAGUGCACGUGCGUGUAGUAAAUCCCAAGUCGUCUCAUAGCUGGUGAUUCCCUUUCACUCACUGAACGUGAAUAAUUGAGCAUUCGGUUGGUGGCAUCAUGGUGAUGAGGACCACAAAUGGUGGGCAGCACAACGUCUUCGGUCCUACACACCAACGCUGUGAGUCCCAGCAAGGCAGAAACGACUUUGAAUAGCUCUGAUUUCCAUCGCAGGGCUGGCCACUGUGCAAUUUUAAUGAGCAUCAAGGCUGUUUCGGGACUAGUCUGCACUAAAUCCCCAAGAGGACUUUGGCUGAGGUACCUGAAGUCACCAUGCCAGGCUGGUUCAGGAUGAAGUAACAGCAGAGAUACAAGCCAGCGUCCUCCCUACUACCUAUAAGAGGUAUUUAUUCAUCGUAAGAGAAUGAAGUAGUAUCUACCGUAAUGUGUGCGCUCUGUGGUAGCAGCAGCUGGUUGGAGGAUCAGCCAGCCCCCCCACUAC
rnacentral:lncRNA from 1 species